UACAGAGGGUGCAAGCGUUAAUCGGAAUUACUGGGCGUAAAGCGUGCGCAGAUGGUUGCGUAAGUCAGAUGUGAAAGCCCCGGGCUUAACCUGGGAACUGCAUUUGAUACUACUGAGCUUGAGUACGGGAGAGGAUAGUGGAAUUCCCAGUGUAGAGGUGAAAUUCGUAGAUAUUGGGAAGAACACCGGUGGCGAAGGCGGCUAUCUGGACCGUAACUGACGCUGAGGCGCGAAAGCGUGGGGAGCAAACAGG
rnacentral:rRNA from 1 species